CAAGUAUUAAAGGUCCCGCCUGCCCAGUGAUAACACAUUUAACGGCCGCGGUAUCCUAACCGUGCAAAGGUAGCGUAAUCACUUGCCCCCUAAUUAGGGGCCCGUAUGAAUGGCUAAAUGAGGGCCCGCCUGUCUCUUGUGGUAUGAUAAUGAAACUGAUCUUCUAGUACAAAAGCUAGAAUACACCCAUAAGACGAGAAGACCCUGUGGAGCUUCCAAACAUCACUGCUACACCAACAAGAAUUACACUAGCAACGCUUUUUAGUUGGGGCAACUACGGAGUAAAACAAAACCUCCAUGCGAACAACUAACACUUAACUUAGGCCCACAAGCCUCAGCCCAAAAAGACCCAGCACUGCUGAUCGCCGAACCAAGUUACCCCAGGGAUAACAGCGCCAUCCUCUUCUAGAGCCCCUAUCGAAAAGAGGGCUUACGACCUCGAUGUUGGAUCAGGACACCCCAGUGGCGAAGCCGCUACUAAAGGACCGUUUGUUCAACGGUUAAU
rnacentral:rRNA from 1 species